CCCUUAGAUGUUCUGGGCCGCACGCGCGCUACACUGACGAAUGCAACGAGCUUAUAACCUUGGCCGAAAGGUCUGGGUAAUCUCCAAAUUUCGUCGUGAUGGGGAUAGAUUAUUGCAAUUAUUAAUCUUCAACGAGGAAUGCCUAGUAAGCGCAAGUCAUCAGCUUGCGUUGAUUACGUCCCUGCCCUUUGUACACACCGCCCGUCGCUCCUACCGAUUGAAUGGUCCGGUGAAGCGUUCGGACCGUGGCCUUUGGACGGUUCGCCGUCUGUUGGCUGCGGGAAGUUCGUUAAACCUUAUCAUUUAGAGGAAGGUGAAGUCGUAGCA
rnacentral:rRNA from 1 species